GAGUGAAAUAGAACCUGAAACCGUGUGCUUACAAGUAGUCAGAGCCCGUUAAUGGGUGAUGGCGUGCCUUUUGUAGAAUGAACCGGCGAGUUACGAUUUGAUGCAAGGUUAAGCAGUAAAUGUGGAGCCGUAGCGAAAGCGAGUCUGAAUAGGGCGUUUAGUAUUUGGUCGUAGACCCGAAACCAGGUGAUCUACCCUUGGUCAGGUUGAAGUUCAGGUAACACUGAAUGGAGGACCGAACCGACUUACGUUGAAAAGUGAGCGGAUGAACUGAGGGUAGCGGAGAAAUUCCAAUCGAACCUGGAGAUAGCUGGUUCUCUCCGAAAUAGCUUUAGGGCUAGCCUCAAGUGAUGAUUAUUGGAGGUAGAGCACUGUUUGGACGAGGGGCCCCUCUCGGGUUACCGAAUUCAGACAAACUCCGAAUGCCAAUUAAUUUAACUUGGGAGUCAGAACAUGGGUGAUAAGGUCCGUGUUCGAAAGGGAAACAGCCCAGACCACCAGCUAAGGUCCCAAAAUAUAUGUUAAGUGGAAAAGGAUGUGGCGUUGCCCAGACAACUAGGAUGUUGGCUUAGAAGCAGCCAUCAUUUAAAGAGUGCGUAAUAGCUCACUAGUCGAGUGACACUGCGCCGAAAAUGUACCGGGGCUAAACAUAUUACCGAAGCUGUGGAUUGUCCUUUGGACAAUGGUAGGAGAGCGUUCUAAGGGCGUUGAAGCAUGAUCGUAAGGACAUGUGGAGCGCUUAGAAGUGAGAAUGCCGGUGUGAGUAGCGAAAGACGGGUGAGAAUCCCGUCCACCGAUUGACUAAGGUUUCCAGAGGAAGGCUCGUCCGCUCUGGGUUAGUCGGGUCCUAAGCUGAGGCCGACAGGCGUAGGCGAUGGAUAACAGGUUGAUAUUCCUGUACCACCUAUAAUCGUUUUAAUCGAUGGGGGGACGCAGUAGGAUAGGCGAAGCGUGCGAUUGGAUUGCACGUCUAAGCAGUAAGGCUGAGUAUUAGGCAAAUCCGGUACUCGUUAAGGCUGAGCUGUGAUGGGGAGAAGACAUUGAGUCUUCGAGUCGUUGAUUUCACACUGCCGAGAAAAGCCUCUAGAUAGAAAAUAGGUGCCCGUACCGCAAACCGACACAGGUAGUCAAGAUGAGAAUUCUAAGGUGAGCGAGCGAACUCUCGUUAAGGAACUCGGCAAAAUGACCCCGUAACUUCGGGAGAAGGGGUGCUCUUUAGGGUUAACGCCCAGAAGAGCCGCAGUGAAUAGGCCCAAGCGACUGUUUAUCAAAAACACAGGUCUCUGCUAAACCGUAAGGUGAUGUAUAGGGGCUGACGCCUGCCCGGUGCUGGAAGGUUAAGAGGAGUGGUUAGCUUCUGCGAAGCUACGAAUCGAAGCCCCAGUAAACGGCGGCCGUAACUAUAACGGUCCUAAGGUAGCGAAAUUCCUUGUCGGGUAAGUUCCGACCCGCACGAAAGGCGUAACGAUUUGGGCACUGUCUCAACGAGAGACUCGGUGAAAUCAUAGUACCUGUGAAGAUGCAGGUUACCCGCGACAGGACGGAAAGACCCCGUGGAGCUUUACUGUAGCCUGAUAUUGAAAUUCGGCACAGCUUGUACAGGAUAGGUAGGAGCCUUUGAAACGUGAGCGCUAGCUUACGUGGAGGCGCUGGUGGGAUACUACCCUAGCUGUGUUGGCUUUCUAACCCGCACCACUUAUCGUGGUGGGAGACAGUGUCAGGCGGGCAGUUUGACUGGGGCGGUCGCCUCCUAAAAGGUAACGGAGGCGCUCAAAGGUUCCCUCAGAAUGGUUGGAAAUCAUUCAUAGAGUGUAAAGGCAUAAGGGAGCUUGACUGCGAGACCUACAAGUCGAGCAGGGUCGAAAGACGGACUUAGUGAUCCGGUGGUUCCGCAUGGAAGGGCCAUCGCUCAACGGAUAAAAGCUACCCCGGGGAUAACAGGCUUAUCUCCCCCAAGAGUUCACAUCGACGGGGAGGUUUGGCACCUCGAUGUCGGCUCAUCGCAUCCUGGGGCUGUAGUCGGUCCCAAGGGUUGGGCUGUUCGCCCAUUAAAGCGGUACGCGAGCUGGGUUCAGAACGUCGUGAGACAGUUCGGUCCCUAUCCGUCGUGGGCGUAGGAAAUUUGAGAGGAGCUGUCCUUAGUACGAGAGGACCGGGAUGGACAUACCUCUGGUGUACCAGUUGUCGUGCCAACGGCAUAGCUGGGUAGCUAUGUGUGGACGGGAUAAGUGCUGAAAGCAUCUAAGCAUGAAGCCCCC
rnacentral:rRNA from 1 species